rnacentral:rRNA from 1 species
UGGUCAAGCGGACGAAGGCGUACGGCGGAUGCCUAGGCGCCAGGGGCCGAAGAAGGACGGGGCAAGCGCCGAAACGCCCCGGGGAGCCGCAAGCAGGCGUUGAUCCGGGGAUUUCCGAAUGGGGCAACCUGCCAGGGGGAAUGCCCUGGCAUCGUCACCUGAAUCCAUAGGGUGGCGAAGGGAACCGGGGGAAGUGAAACAUCUCAGUACCCCGAGGAGAAGAAAUCAACCGAGAUUCCCUAAGUAGCGGCGAGCGAACGGGGAAGAGCCCAAACUCCAGCCGUGUCAAGCCCACAGGCGUUGCGGCUGGAGGGUUGUAGGGGCUGCAGGAGGAGGCUGUGGACUCCUCACCGCGCCGGUCUUCCUAGUCGAAGAGGUCUGGAAAGGCCCGCCAUAGAGCGUGACAGCCGCGUAGGCGAAAGGGAGAAACGGACGGAGCAGAUUCCCUGAGUACCACGGGACACGUGAAAUCCCGUGGGAAGCUGGGGGGACCACCCUCCAAGGCUAAAUACCCACUGGCGACCGAUAGCGCAUAGUACCGUGAGGGAAAGGUGAAAAGCACCCCGGAAGGGGAGUGAAAUAGAACCUGAAACCGUACGCCGACAAACAGUCGGAGCCCUAGGCCGCAAGGCAGGGUGACGGCGUACUUUUUGUAGAACGGACCGGCGAGUGACAUCGCGGUGCGAGGUUAAGGGCUUCAGGCCUGGAGCCGCAGCGAAAGCGAGUCCGAAUAGGGCGUGAGUACCGUGAUGUCGACCCGAAGCCGGGUGAUCUACCCAUGGCCAGGGUGAAGCUGGGUUAAUCCCCAGUGGAGGCCCGAACCACGUGGACGUUGAAAAGUCCUGGGAUGAGCUGUGGGUAGGGGUGAAAAGCCAAUCGAACCCGGUGAUAGCUGGUUCUCCCCGAAAUAGCUUGAGGGCUAGCCUCGGGUGGUGAAACGGCCGGAGGUAGAGCACUGAUCGGGCUAGGGGCCCCAAAAGGUUACCGAACCCGUUCAAACUCCGAAUGCCGGUCGUGGAUGCCCGGGAGUCAGACAGCGGGGGAUAAGCUCCGUUGUCAAAAGGGAAACAGCCCAGACCACCAGCUAAGGUCCCUAAGUUCCGGCUAAGUGGGAAAGGAUGUGGGGUUGCUUAGACAGCCAGGAGGUUGGCUUAGAAGCAGCCAUUCCUUUAAAGAGUGCGUAAUAGCUCACUGGUCGAGUGACCCUGCGCCGAAAAUGUAGCGGGGCUCAAGCCGGACACCGAAGCUGUGGGUGCCAUCGUUCGAUGGCGCGGUAGGGGAGCGUUCCGUGCCGCGCAGAAGCGGUAGCGAAAGCCGCCGUGGAGCGCACGGAAGUGAGAAUGCCGGUAUAAGUAGCGAAAAGAAGGGUGAGAAUCCCUUCCGCCGAAAGCCUAAGGAUUCCUGAGGAAGGUUCGUCCGCUCAGGGUUAGUCGGGACCUAAGGCGAGGCCGAAAGGCGUAGCCGAUGGACAACGGGUUGAUAUUCCCGUACCACCGCGCGGGCGUCUGAGCAAUGGGGUGACGCAGAAGGGUAGGUACAGCCGGGUGCUGGACGUCCCGGUGCAAGCGCGUAGAGGGUGCGGUAGGCAAAUCCGCCGCACAAAACCUCAAGGCGUGACGCCGAGGGAAAUUGAGUACCGAAGUGGCCGAUCCCACGCUGCCAAGAAAAGCCUCUAGCGAGUCCGCCGGUGCCCGUACCGCAAACCGACACAGGUAGGCGAGGAGAGAAUCCUCAGGCGCGCGAGAGAACCCCUGUUAAGGAACUCGGCAAACUAGCCCCGUAACUUCGGGAGAAGGGGCGCCCUAGUAGGGUGAGCACCCCCGCGGUGUGAGCCCGAGGGGGCCGCAGUGAAAGGGCCCAAGCGACUGUUUAUCAAAAACACAGGUCUCUGCGAAGCCGUAAGGCGACGUAUAGGGGCUGACGCCUGCCCAGUGCCGGAAGGUUAAGGGGAGGGGUUAGCCGCAAGGCGAAGCUCCGAACCAAAGCCCCGGUGAACGGCGGCCGUAACUAUAACGGUCCUAAGGUAGCGAAAUUCCUUGUCGGGUAAGUUCCGACCUGCACGAAAGGCGUAACGACUUGGGCGCUGUCUCAACAGGGGGCUCGGCGAAAUUGUGGUAUGCGUGAAGACGCGCAUUACCCGCGGCUAGACGGAAAGACCCCGUGGAGCUUUACUGUAGCCUGGGAUUGGAUUUCGGUAUUGGAUGUAUAGAAUAGGUGGGAGGCUGAGAAGCCGGGACGCUAGUCUCGGUGGAGCCGCCGGUGGAAUACCACCCUUCCGGUGCUGAAGUUCUAACCACGAGCCGUAAGCCGGCUCUGGGACAGUCCCUGGUGGGCAGUUUGACUGGGGCGGUUGCCUCCUAAAAGGUAACGGAGGCGCCCAAAGGUUCCCUCAGCGCGGUCGGAAAUCGCGCGUGGAGUGCAAAGGCAUAAGGGAGCCUGACUGCAAGACAGACACGUCGAGCAGGGACGAAAGUCGGGCUUAGUGAUCCGGCGGUGCCGGGUGGAAGGGCCGUCGCUCAACGGAUAAAAGCUACCCCGGGGAUAACAGGCUGAUCUCCCCCAAGAGUCCACAUCGACGGGGAGGUUUGGCACCUCGAUGUCGGCUCAUCGCAUCCUGGGGCCGGAGUAGGUCCCAAGGGUUGGGCUGUUCGCCCAUUAAAGCGGUACGCGAGCUGGGUUCAGAACGUCGUGAGACAGUUCGGUCCCUAUCUGCCGCGGGCGUAGGAGAUUUGAGGGGAGCCGUCCCUAGUACGAGAGGACCGGGAUGGACGCACCGCUGGUGUACCAGUUGUCCCGCCAGGGGCACGGCUGGAUAGCCAAGUGCGGCAGGGAGAAGCGCUGAAAGCAUCUAAGCGCGAAGCCCCCCCCAAGAUGAGAUCUCCCACCGGUUCAUCCGGGUAAGACCCCUCGUAGAUGACGAGGUCGAUAGGCCGGAGGUGUAAGGGCAGCAAUGCCCUCAGCUUACCGGUACUAAUCGGUCGAGGGCUUGACCUCGCUUU